GACGAACGCUGGCGGCGUGCUUAACACAUGCAAGUCGAACGGUGAACCUCUUCGGAGGGGAUCAGUGGCGAACGGGUGAGUAACACGUGGGCAACCUGCCCCCGGCUCUGGGAUAACUCCAAGAAAUUGGGGCUAAUACCGUAUGUUCACCGCUUCCCGCAUGGGUGGUGGUGGAAAGGGUUUCCGGCUGGGGGUGGGCCCGCGGCCUAUCAGCUUGUUGGUGGGGUAGUGGCCUACCAAGGCGACGACGGGUAGCCGGCCUGAGAGGGUGACCGGCCACAAUGGGACUGAGACACGGCCCAGACUCCUACGGGAGGCAGCAGUGGGGAAUAUUACGCAAUGGGCGGAAGCCUGACGCAGAGACGCCGCGUGGGGGAUGACGGCCUUCGGGUUGUAAACCUCUUUCAGCAGGGACGAAGCGCAAGUGACGGUACCUGAAGAAGAAGCACCGGCCAACUACGUG
rnacentral:rRNA from 1 species